GCUGUGAAUUACAGGUCCAAAAUGAACAAGGAUCCUGCACAACAGCACCUGAUCUAAUCUUUUCCUCUGUGCUGAGGGAAAGUCAAGUGUCCAGUAGAAGCCAAGCAUCCACAGGUCUGAUCACUGCACUUCCAUGCCAAACUCAGAAUCCGGCUCCCUAGAAAAUACAAACCAUCCCAGCAAGAGCUGUGUUGCUAAAAACAUUCAAAGGAAGUUUAAUGCUCCUCUUCCAUCCAUGGGGAGUGCUCCAUUCACUCCAGCUGGUUACUGAUACAGAGGGUGAUCCCUCCUCAUCUUUCCCACCUACCCUUGCCAUUCCACCACUCCAGUCCCAGGAGUCACCCCAGCACGUUGCCAUGAUGCCAAGGAACUGGCAGCCCUGCAGGUGUGCCUGUGACUCCCGCUCCCUGUCUUCAUUCCCCAUGCCUUUGCACAGAGACAGGCAUCUCUUGCUAGCCCUGGCUUUAAACUGAAGAGACUGAAGUUCCCCUCCUGCAGCAACUUUAAAUGAAGGCCCUCACCAACUUGGCGAGCCUGUCACCGAAAUUCCCUCUCUGUAUCAGAAGGACCCCAGCAGUCCCAACAGGUUUCUCCAUACUCUCCUAUGGUCAGACACCUGGCUGUGGCACCAGUCCUGUGACCAGAUUUUUGCUGGUUUGCCAGAUUUCAAACCCCCUUCCCUUUGACUGGAGAGGUUGGAGAAAAAGCUACCUGUGCUCCAGAAGAUGAUGAAGGGAUUGGAGCAUGUCUCCUAUGAGGAAAGGCUGAGGGAGCUGGGGCUACUUGAGAACUGAUAGCUGAGAGGGGACCUGAUCCAUGUCUGUCAGCGUCUGCUGUGAGAGGUCGGGGGAUGGCCCAGCAGUGGGACAAGAGGAACAGGCAGGAACUGAUGUCUGGGAAACUCCACCUGAAUGUGAGGGAGAACUUCUUCCCUGUGCAGUGACUGAGUGCUGAACAGACUGCCCAGAGAGGCUGUGGAGUCUAUCUCACUGGAGGUGUUUCAGAACCUGGACACAAUCCUGUGCAGUAGGCUCUGGAACAACCCUGCUGGAGUUAGGAGAUGGGACCAGAUGACCCACUGUGCUCCCUUCCAAGCUGCCCUAUUCUAUGACUGUGCCAGGCCUGUCUUCCCAGGUGUCUAGGCCAUGUUUUACAGGAUUUAAAGGUACCAGCCUGAGCUGGGAUUAGAGAAGACUGGAGCUGCUACAGCUGCACCCCUGCACCUACAUGAAAGAGGUGUUGGCUAUCUCAGUCACUGCUGGCUGUGGAUUCCUGUGGUCACUGCAAGCCCACAGAGCUCUCCUGCGUGGCCUGGUGGAGAUCUCCCCGUGUGCUGGGACUUUGCUCAAGGACACUCCUGGAGGCUGAGAUGCCCUUACCCAGCACCUGAUGUCUAUAGUAAGGUAACACAUUUUGCAUUAAGCCUAAAUGUAUGUUUUAUAUUCAUGACAUUUAUAUAUCCAGCUAUUGCUUUAGGUGUACAAGUGCAGUAAGUAGCAGAGUCUAAUCAUGGUUUAAAUUAUUGUUGAAAUAAGAAACUAAAAAUAUGGUUUGAUUACCAUUUCAUUACAGCAUAAUUAUUAAUUAUUGUUAAAUCACUGUUAAAUCAUAAUUUGAUUAUUCCUUAAUCACCACUUGCAAUUUAUUUAUCAUUAAAUAUCAUUUGAUCAUCAUCUAAUCAUUAAUAAAACCUCUUUGUUAUCCCCACAAUGAUGAAUUCUCUUAAAAAUUCACCUGUGCCAGUAGACUUGUGGUUGUAUGAAUGGGGGGAGAGGGAGAGAAAAGGAAACAGGUGCAGUGAUGGCUGCUAACACUGCAGAUGUUGUAGCUUUACUGUUGUUUAUGACUGUGAAGAACAAAGUACAGGAAUAAGGAAAUAGAGUAUUUGUGUACAAGGGCCUUUGAUGACAAAGCUGUAAAUUACAGCUGUGACAGGUCUACGUAACAAUCAAAAUGUAAAACUGUACAAGGCAACAACCAGAGUAUUGUGAUUCAAACCUCUGAAAGAAAAAUGUUAGUCAUAUUGAUGAAAAGCAUUCCUCUUUGCAGAGACUCUCUACUACUAUUAAAUUACUGACUUCUCUGUAUUCACCACUUGUGCCUGAGGAAUAUACACCCUUUUCUUCCCCUCCCCCCACAACGUAUGAACCAGAGUGUUUAUUCUGCAUAGGAAGGCGUGGUGAAUGGAAUGCCCUGGUUCUGGGGGAUCCUGGUGAUCUGCUUGAGCCCAAGGGGAGAAAACGAGGUAAAUGCAGGAGCUGAACAAUAAUCUGUGGUAUAAUUAUAAUUCUGUCCCUUGUUGGACAGAAAAGAAAGCAGCAGAUUUCACAUGUGCAGGAGGGUGCUUCUCCUGGUUUCUGUGCUUGCAAAUGCAUGCUGAACCUGAUGUGCCCUAUUGGUUGUACAUAAAUGGUUUUCUCAGUGACUGCUGGAGAGAAGCCAGCCCAGGAACCUGUAGUGUACAUCUGCAUAGUUUCAUUUUUUGCUGCAUCACAGGACAACUGCAGAUUUCCUCAGCAGCCUUUGAUUCUAAAUGUCAGCGACUUUGGCCAUUGGGUUUCUUAGGUGCUCCUCAUUCCCUUCGGGAGAGAUGCCAGGUAGCACAAGGUGACCCUUAAAGCACCGGGAUUAAUAGCAGUUACCUCAGUGGUGAUGGUCAAAGAGGAGAGGGCGUUAGAUAAGAAAAGCUGAUCCCACCUCCACCCUGCCCUCCUUGCAGGACGCAGACACAGAGGGCAUUUCAGUGUGCCCAGCCCUCAGUUCCUUGCCCGGAUUUCAGACCAGAGAGAUUCUGGACACGCUUCUGUCUCGGGCAAGGGCUCCUCUGGGUGGCACCAAGCACAGGGCAGAACCCGGCUGGCUUUUCCCCGUUCUCUUAAAAGUUCCAUUCAUCUUCUCUAAGGGAAGGGCCGUUUCUUGAGGCCCGGCCAGGCUCUGGCCACUUGUCCUCUCGCUCGUCACAGGCAUAUUCCCGGAGCAAGCACAGAAACAUCUCCUCGAUCCCUGGAGGGUUUCCACUUCCCUGCCGGCUCGGGCGCCGCAGCCACAGCAGCCAAGCCCAGCCCUAAUGAGCAGUUGUGGCUGCUCAUCAGCCAUAACUUCGUGGCCCCCCUUUCCCUGCUCUCCCAGCCUCAGUGCACUUCCCCUUUAUCCCCCAGGGGUAGGGGAAGUAUCCCCCUCGGGACAGCCCGAUUCCAGCGGGCGAUUUCCCCGAUCCGAGCGGCAGAGUUACCCGAUCCGCUGGGAAGCCCCGCGC